UACGAACCGUACAAACGUUAUUCGGAAUCACUGGGCUUAAAGGGUGCGUAGGCGGCCAUGUAAGUGGGGGUGUGAAAUCCCUCGGCUCAACCGAGGAACUGCGCUCCAUACUGCAUGGCUUGAGGGAGACAGGGGUAAGCGGAACUUCCGGUGGAGCGGUGAAAUGCGUAGAUAUCGGAAGGAACACCGGUGGCGAAAGCGGCGCGCUGGAUCCCGUUC
rnacentral:rRNA from 1 species